CCCGAAACCGGGUGAUCUAGUCAUGCCCAGAGUGAAGGUCAGGUAACACUGACUGGAGGCCCGAACCCACUCCCGUUGCAAAGGUAGGGGAUGAGGUGUGACUAGGAGUGAAAAGCUAAUCGAACCCGGAGAUAGCUGGUUCUCCUCGAAAGCUAUUUAGGUAGCGCCUCAUGUGAAUCCUCUCGGGGGUAGAGCACUGUUAUGGCUAGGGGGUCAUUGCGACUUACCAAACCAUGGCAAAC
rnacentral:rRNA from 1 species